GCACCUCUCAACACAAAACAAAAAAGUUGGCUAGGUAACCAAGCUAGCUAGGCAAGUAGCAGCAACAGCAGGAGGAAAAUGGAGGGAAAGAGGACUACCACUUCGAUGGUGAUCAUGUGCAUGCUCAUCUUGAGCCUCACCGUCAGCUCGGCCUCCGCGGCACAGUGCGGCUGCUGCUGGGCCGCCCGGGCAAAAGCAUGUUGUUUUGCUUGUAUUACCGCAGGUGGCUCCGAUAAAGUCUGCAAGAACACUUGUUGUUUCCCCUGUUUUCUGGCAGAUUCCGUGGCUGCUAAGAUGGAAGAAAUGGAAGUGGUUGCUAUGGAAGAAGGACAAGCCUAAAACAACUCGCAUUGCUACCAGCAAAGGAUGCCAUCCAUGUGCAUAUGUCGCUUUGCUUCAACCUAUAUAUGGCCAAGUUAUGUUAAUGUUUAUCUCCAAUAAAUUGUUGACCGUAUGGCACGACCUCUAGUCGAUCCAUCUGUUGGUCUCAACUAUAUAUGUAUGUCGUACAUGUGUGUGUGUGUGUGUGAGUGUGCACGCUCACAAGCUUAUUUGAAUUCCUCUUCCUGCUUGUAAUAAGGCCAUAGACACUGUGUCCACUGUGGUAUGAGUUAUGAACAGUCUAAUAUGUUUGUGUAUUAUUUCUGGCCUUAGCAAUUUUUCUGGAACAUGAUUAAUUAUUAUAUUA